UGAGCUUUCAUCAAAGAUAUAUUGCAAUAACUUACCUAAAGCUAUCAAAUACUUGACACUAAAAUUGCAUAUUUGAAAGCACAGGGGCGUUAAAGGAAAAGUCUGACCAUCUCUACACUGAACCCAGAAGGACAACGACAUGCAGUAUAAAAACCACAGCUGAUCCAGAAAGCCCCAGAGUCUCCUGCUGUCUGGUGUCAGGUAC